UACAGAGGGUGCAAGCGUUAAUCGGAUUUACUGGGCGUAAAGGGCGCGUAGGUGGUUGUUUAAGUGAGGUGUGAAAGCCCCGGGCUCAACCUGGGAACUGCAUCUUAUACUGGGCAACUGGAGUACAUGAGAGGGUAGUGGAAUUUCCGGUGUAGCGGUGAAAUGCGUAGAUAUCGGAAGGAACACCAGUGGCGAAGGCGGCUACCUGGCAUGAUACUGACACUGAGGCGCGAGAGCGUGGGGAGCAAACAGG
rnacentral:rRNA from 1 species